AGACAGGUGCUGCAUGGCUGUCGUCAGCUCGUGUUGUGAAAUGUUGGGUUAAGUCCCGCAACGAGCGCAACCCUUAUCCUUUGUUGCCAGCGGUUAGGCCGGGAACUCAAAGGAGACUGCCAGUGAUAAACUGGAGGAAGGUGGGGAUGACGUCAAGUCAUCAUGGCCCUUACGAGUAGGGCUACACACGUGCUACAAUGGCACAUACAAAGAGAA
rnacentral:rRNA from 1 species